AGCGAACGCUGGCGGCGUGCUUAACACAUGCAAGUCGAGCGAAGGUGUUUCAAGGGUAACCUUGAGAUACACUUAGCGGCGGACGGGUGAGUAAUACGUGGAUAACUUACCUCUAGGCCUGGGAUAACCCCGGGAACUGGGGCUAAUACCUGAUAAGACCACAUUGUCUACGGACAAAGGGGUAAAAGGUGGCUGUGCAAACAGCUAUCGCCAAAAGAUAGGUUCACGUCCCAUCAGGCAGUGGUGAGGUAAUGGCUCACCAAACCAAAGACGGGUAGCCGGCCUUGGC
rnacentral:rRNA from 1 species